UACGUGUUGAUCGUGAAAAAAAAACCUCGUAAAUCGAGUUUUUAGUGUAUAAGGAAAUCGGUUAUCUCGAUUCUCGGUUUUCCAAAAAUUGGAAAAUGUUGGUAAUGUUAAAAAUGUUUUUCGACAUCCUUUAUCUCAGAGUAUUGAUAACAUUAAACCUUCAGAAAUGCACAAAAUCGAAGAACUUGCGUAGAAAUAUAGGUAAGUACCGAUAUAAAAAGACAAGUUUUGUUCAAACGAGUACAGUCGUUUUGGAGUUUUUGAGUUGUGCGUUGAAUUGGAAAAUAAGUAGUGUUCGAGUAAAAAAUAUGAAUAAAUUUGGAGUGUUUUCGGUUUUGUUGGGUGCACUUUUGUGGAUCAAUGUUGUCCAAGUUCAAGCGGGAGGCUUAACGAGUGCACUUGAGCCAAUAUUAGACGGGGUAGUCUCCGCGUUGAAGUUCUUACAACCAGUGUUGCUACCAGUGUUAUUUGGUUUAACACUGCUGCUGACACCUUUGGUGUUUUUAUUAUCUCCGCUGUUGUUCGGUUUGGGACUUGUAAUAAAAUUCGUAUUGGGAGGACUACACCUACUGAGUACAGUACAAUCAUUAGUAAAAACAGUGAUCGAUGCUGUAGAUCCAUUGUUAUUCCCACUGACACUAGUUUUGUGGGUUGUAUUAAAGUUGCUUGGAUUAUUGCCAAUUGAUUGAGAUGGCAAUUCUUGAAGAAAACGUACCUUUUAUGUGCAAGCAUAUUUAUUCCUACUACAUUUUUAUAUCUCUCGACAUGAUAAAUUUAGUUUUUAAAAUAGAAUAAAAUACCAAAUCGUUUUGUUCACCUUCGUAGAGUAACACAUUUCAUUCUGAAAAAUCAAAGUUGACACGUACAUACGAGUAGACUAAGAAUUACAAAAAUCCAGUUGUUAGAUAUCUGUUCAAUAUUUUUUAAAACAAAUAAAAUAACAUAGCCAAUGUUA